rnacentral:tRNA from 1 species
GCCUGGCUGGCUCAGUUGGAAGAGCAUGAGACUCUUGAUCUCGGGAUUAUAGGUUCAAGCCCCUUGUUGGGUG